GCAUCUGCGAGCGCGGCGUGGGACAGGAAUUCUGAGCUCAGAAGGACGCAUCGUGAAGUUUUCGGAGUUGCCCUGUUCACCACCCCGUUUCUACCGAGUCUUUCUGAUUUCUGGGUUUCCUUGACCCAGAAGCCCCACAUCUAGCCCGAGGUGCGCCCCCUACCCCUGGGGUCCCCCAGGUCGGCCGGGGCAGCCACGGGUCGCGCUGGUGCUUGCGGGGCGUGCCUGGGUAUCCAAGGGAGGGAGUGUGCGCCCUGGGAGCCGAUGCUGACUCCACCAGAACUGCCGACCCCUCCCCCUCCCUCCCUGAUUGCAUCAUUAGUGCUAAUUGAGGGGCUUUCACACGCCGGUGCAUUAGCUGUUUGCAGUGAGCUCCCGCGCCCGGGAGAGAAGCCGCCGCCCUCCCCCUCUCGCGGCUCUGCUACUCCCCCUCCCAUUCGCCCUUCCCCUCCCCCGACACUGGCCACCGAGGUCCUCCUCUCUCCUUCCUGCCUCCCUCUGGGCCGGUGUUCUCGCCUCCCGAGAGUGUCAGCGACUGGCUAGGGAGCAGAAGGAUCCAGAGUGUCGUGUCUGGGGGAGUGGUGGGGGUGUCCAGGCAGGGGCGAUUGUCCCUGAAGAUAUCUGGUGUUCCUACAGGAUGCAAGGUGUCUGUGAUGAGAAAGUGCACUGGAAUUGCGACCCUGUUCUCUGGCCCAGGAGAGGGCUGAGCCCUAGCACAACUCUGGGAUUUACCUGGAGGCCGCCUGCUCUGAGCGAGGCUCGGGAGACCCCACCUGCCAUUCCUGCUCCCACGCAGCCUGGACCUGGACCUGUGGGCAGACAGGCUGAGGACGAGGCUGAACAGAAAGUAAGAAUGAAGCAUGCUUUGUGUUUCUUUAAGAAUCUAGCUUCUCCCUUUGCAUUCCCUCUUCCUCUCUUUCCUUGGAAGCUGGCAAUGAUUCAUCAUGUAUAAAUUGAAGAUAAUCCCAUUUCCUGAUGACUCUUACAGACCAGGGUUGGGGGAGAAGGGUCUCCUAAGAACUUCCAUCUCUCUCUGCUAUUUGUGAAAGAAAUAACAAAAAUGUCUCUGUUUCCUCGCUAUGGACUUCCAAGGUCUGGCUCAUUGCAGACUGCUUUCUGUGUAUUCAAUUCUCUAAUAGUGGCAAUAGUCUCCUAUCAGAUUUUAAACCCAAAGGACAAUUGUUCGAGGCACAUUUCGAGCUACAAAUUGUAGGCAGCUGUCGGUCAAGGCCAGGAAGUUGUGGGGUAGCAGUGACUCUAUCCCCAAAGACCAUUUCUGUCCAUAUUUCCUUUGACCUAGGCUGGAGCUGGAGUUGGAGUUAGUACGGUUCCAUGCAGGGUUGGAGGAAGUGUGUGGUUGCUGGGGGUGUCGACACUGGAGCUGGGUCAGGUGCUUUGCUGGAAGCUUGGAAGCUCGUUGGUAUCUUGCAUCUAGGGGUUAUACCACACCUCGGGGUUCAGUCUCAACUUGGCUCAAACCUGUGGUCCUGCCUGUGAUUUUGGGCUGACUGAGACAAAGUCAUGCUGUUUUCCCUCAGGGAAUAUAUGGGGUUGAGGUACCACAUAGUAUCCUCAUGGCAGCCUCCUGGGCAGCCUGCCAAGACCCAGCCGUGGGUUUAUCUCCUCUGGCUCCUGUGGAGACAGGUGGGCAGGUGCAGGCAGCAGUGGGUCCAGAUGUUUGGUCUCCUCCUGUACCUCCAGGAAGUUGGGACAUGGUCCUGGAACUCAGCCUCAGGACUUGAGGCUCAGAGUGGGCCAGCUUGGCCUAGGGGGCAUCAAUGACUAGAAAGCAACCUCAGCUGCCCUGGUACCUGGUGUCCAACUGGCUAGUGUUCUCCCAUUUCAAGCACUUUGACACAUGGUGAGGCACUGAUUCCAGUCCUUGUCCCCAUGAGGAGCUAGGCAGGUAGCUUUUCAGUGGCUUUCUGGGCUAUUUCUGUGAAUGGGCACCA
rnacentral:lncRNA from 1 species